rnacentral:rRNA from 1 species
UACAGAGGGUGCAAGCGUUAAUCGGAAUUACUGGGCGUAAAGCGCGCGUAGGUGGUUCGUUAAGUUGGAUGUGAAAUCCCCGGGCCCAACCUGGGAACUGCAUCCAAAACUGGCGAGCUAGAGUAUGGUAGAGGGUGGUGGAAUUUCCUGUGUAGCGGUGAAAUGCGUAGAUAUAGGAAGGAACACCAGUGGCGAAGGCGACCACCUGGACUGAUACUGACACUGAGGUGCGAAAGCGUGGGGAGCAAACAGG